GAUGUAAAACCCCAACAAGCAUGAUAGGGCGAGCCAGGCCCCUUUAAGGUAUUUUAUUUAUUUGUGUCUGCUUCUGAGAGGCUAAUUACAAAUCCAAUUACU